rnacentral:tRNA from 1 species
GCACCCUUAGUACAGUGGCAGAACGCGAGCUUCCCAAGCUCGAGAUGCGGGUUCGAUUCCCGCAGGGUGCA